GCCUAGCAUCAGACACAGGUCCUGAGCUCUGAGGCCUGCAACCUCAGUGUGCACUUGAACUAUGAGGCUGGUGACAGCAAUUACUGUACUCCUAACUUUAGGUAUUAUGGGUGACGCUAAGACCACCCAGCCAAAUUCAGUGGAGUGUACUGAAGAAGAACCUGUGUACUUGCCUUGUAACCACUCCACAAUCAGUGGAAGUGAGUACGUAUACUGGUAUCGACAGAUUCUCCUCCAGGGUCCAGAGUAUGUGAUUCAUGGUCUAAAAGGCAAUGUGACCAAUAGCAUGGCCACUCUGGCCAUCUCUGCUGACAGGAAGUCCAGUACCUUGAUCCUGCCCCGAGUCACCCUGGGAGACACUGCCGUGUACCACUGCAUCGUGAGAGCCCACAGUGGGACAGAUGGGGCUGCACCUGUGCAGUAUCUCCCGGAGGGGAAGGGAGCAGCAGCAGCCUUCUAAAGAGGCCGCUGCACAAGGACGAGCAGAAGCUCAACAGAGGAAAGAGAAAAUAAAGGAGAAAGGGGCAAAGAAGUAAAGAGAAAAUGGUGAGGAAAUCAAGGAGGAGCAGACUAAAGGAAUGAAGACAUUGAGGAAGAAGAGCUGAAUAAGUCCUAAAGAGGUCCUAGAGAAAGCACUGAGAAGCUUGCCAGGAGACCAAAAUUCACAAUUGCAAUUCUUCAAUGAAGAAGACGGAAAAUGAGAAUA